ACUGUAUGCAAAAACGUACGACGCCUCAUAUGGGCUCCACCCUAUAUUCUGCCGUCGGCGGCCGCCGCAUUUUCCAUGACCUUGGCUUCGAGUUUUUUUGGGUCCCGAUCUCUGCGCCAUCUCGACCUGUCUACUACGGAGUUCCCUCUAGGCCUCCACUUCUCUCCUCCACGGCAUUAUUCAAAUCAGUCCCGGAAGCUGCUGGCCACGGUCGCCCCCAUUGAUUCGGGCGACGAUCUACGUAACCCUUCUGGCGUCCGUCAGGUGUUCGACGAAAUAACCAGCCAGGAUGCCACGCGGACUCCAGCUGCAUUGCUUGUGCGUCAAGUGUGGUUUUAGUCGGGCUGAGGUCACCAUUGCUUGAUGUGCAUCAAUUGCUCCAGUGUCGACCAUGGGAGGAUGGAGAGGGUGCUUGAGUGGAUACUCAAGAUGCAGAAGAAAGGAGCCACAAGAUAUUUCGCUUACUGGUUAUGUUCAGAGCAAAGGUUUAUUGUGGAGGGUUGACAUGGGCAAUCAGGGAAGAGCCAUCCUGGUCUAGUCUAAUGGCAUAUACCUCCGUUACAGUACUCCACAAUCUGUUAUCACAUUUUAUUUGGAUACGAUAACAUUAUUCAUUGCCCGGGGUUACUUUUUUGCAUUGAUCCCAUAGAAGGUAUGGUCUUCCUCCUGAUCUUUUAUAUUUUCCCCUUCCAAUUGGCACCUCCAAUUCCCUCACCGGAAAGUUCUUUAUAUUGGCGUAUUGGUGUAUAAAGGCUUAAACUUAUGAGGUGUUUGUUCAAUCUGAUUGAAUGGAUCUUUUAGAUUGGGGUUUAUGUUUCAA